rnacentral:rRNA from 1 species
CGUAGGGUGCGAGCGUUGUCCGGAUUUAUUGGGCGUAAAGAGCUCGUAGGCGGUUUGUCGCGUCGGCCGUGAAAACCUACAGCUUAACUGUGGGCUUGCGGUCGAUACGGGCAGACUUGAGUUCGGCAGGGGAGACUGGAAUUCCUGGUGUAGCGGUGAAAUGCGCAGAUAUCAGGAGGAACACCGGUGGCGAAGGCGGGUCUCUGGGCCGAUACUGACGCUGAGGAGCGAAAGCGUGGGGAGCGAACAGGAUU